rnacentral:lncRNA from 1 species
UUUUAAUUAAUUCACGUGCAAAUUUUCAUUAUUUUUAAAAUCUUUUUGGGGGAUGAUGAUGUCCUGACCCCACCUUAUUUAGUUUAAUUUUUCAUGAUUUUCUUGAUUAAUUAUCUAUUUAUUUGUUAUUUUUUAAGUUUACUUGAAUUUUCAGUUGACUUCUUUAUGAUCGAUGUUUGACUUAGGGAUUGCUUAUGGCAAUUGAAGAGAUCUUUCGAUCCUCCUUUGCUCAUCUCAUAUGCCA